rnacentral:rRNA from 1 species
GACGGACGCUGGCGGCGUGCUUAACACAUGCAAGUCGAACGGAAAGGCCCCAGCUUGCUGGGGUACUCGAGUGGCGAACGGGUGAGUAACACGUGGGUGAUCUGCCCUGCACUCUGGGAUAAGCCUGGGAAACUGGGUCUAAUACCGGAUAGGACCGUGCUUUAUUGUGUGCGGUGGAAAGUUUUUCGGUGCAGGAUGAGCCCGCGGCCUAUCAGCUUGUUGGUGGGGUAAUGGCCUACCAAGGCGGCGACGGGUAGCCGGCCUGAGAGGGUGUACGGCCACAUUGGGACUGAGACACGGCCCAGACUCCUACGGGAGGCAGCAGUGGGGAAUAUUGCACAAUGGGCGCAAGCCUGAUGCAGCGACGCCGCGUGGGGGAUGACGGCCUUCGGGUUGUAAACCCCUUUCGGCAGGGACGAAGCUUUUGUGACGGUACCUGCAUAAGAAGCACCGGCUAACUACGUG